CAAGAUGAAGAACUGCUGAUAUCUAUGACUUUGAUGAUGAAAAGGAUGAAAAUAAGGUUGAUUUUAAGAAGAUUGCCAGUGAAAAUUGGAUUGAGCCACCAAGAAGAAGCGAAAG